CCUCAAGCCAAAAAGAGAACAUCAAAGAAGAAGGCGCUCAAGGCAACGUGGGAUGAUUCAAGCGCGUCCGAAGAAGAGGAGUCCAACACCGAGCAAGUUGCUCAUUAUGCCCUAAUGGCCAUCGGAGAAGAGGUAAUGGAUUUAAUUAAUGCAGAUUUACCUUAUCAUGAAUUAUUAAAUGCUUUCCAUGAGUUAUUUGAUGAAUGUAAGA
rnacentral:lncRNA from 1 species